UGGGGAAUAUUGGGCAAUGGGCGCAAGCCUGACCCAGCAACGCCGCGUGAAGGAAGAAGGCUUUCGGGUUGUAAACUUCUUUUGUCAGGGAAGAUGAAGAGACGGUACCUGACGAAUAAGCCACGGCUAACUACGUGCCAGCAGCCGCGGUAAUACGUAGGUGGCAAGCGUUGUCCGGAUUUACUGGGUGUAAAGGGCGUGUAGGCGGGAGAGCAAGUCAGGCGUGAAAACUAUGGGCUUAACCCAUAGCCUGCGUUUGAAACUGUUUUUUCUUGAGUACUGGAGAGGUUGACGGAAUUCCUUGUGUAGCGGUGAAAUGCGUAGAUAUAAGGAGGAACACCAGUGGCGAAGGCGGUCAACUGGACAGCAACUGACGCUGAGGCGCGAAAGCGUGGGGAGGCAAACAGGAUUAGAUACCC
rnacentral:rRNA from 1 species